AGUUUUGACUUGAGCUGAGGUCAGUACAGGCCGCAGGCGGGAAAUGUGCUCAAAUGCUGACUGCCUGGAAGGUCUUUUCCAUUUCGGAGUGUCGGCUGUGGGUCAGACCGUCUCAGGGAAUAAACUGUAAGUGGAGAAAUCAAAGUGUGAACCCCCAUUCCCUACCACAACCCGUGGGAUGUAUAUGAAGAGCCCCAGUGGGCAGCCAUAGCAACCAUUAGCUUAAAACCUGUUGAAACAGAAAAGUUGAAUUGAGAAGGAAAAGCACAUCCCGUUCCUGCCUCCAGGCAUCCUGUUCUUGGGUGAAGAGAAGCAAAAGAGUUGAAGAAAACCUGAAGGUAAACCUCAGGGCAUCAUCCCACCUGGAUAGAGAGAUGAACUGGCCGGGGUGCUGUCAAGUCUUGUCCCUGGACCGCUGCUUCUGCCCACAUAACCAGCCUUCUUGGCAGAUUCCAGGGCUCUCUCUGCCAAAAGCCCUGAAGAAAUGAAGUCAGAAAACGAUCGUCAAACUCUGUGAUUCAGAGGUCACCCGCACAUCAUACCAAAACCAGCUAAAGCCACCCCAGAUCCAUAUCCAGGUCUCCCUUCUUCAGACCCAAAGGAGCCUGCAGCUUUCUUCAUUCACUUAUUAUCCUUAA